CUCUAAGGUCAACUCCAUCAUUCUUUUGUUAUGGAACCAGAACUGUAUUUAAUGCUGAGGUAGAGUCAACUCAAGAAGAAAAGGUAUGAAAAAAAUCCAAAUUAGGUAGAAUUUUAAAAACUACGUUUAAGAGCAGUAAUAACUGAAAUGGUAAAAACAUUGCUCAAUACUACUAGAGCCUAGUUAAAGAAAAAAGUUCUUUGGCCAUCUAAUCAAGAAUAAUGCACCCUUCACCCCAAAGAAAGCAUUAAGAGAAAGUGGUCACUUAGCAAGAUGCACACACACGCUAAAUAAGACACAUAGCUUUACAUACAAGAAAUUUUUCUAAAUCUAGGAAAACUGAAUGAUUUCCCAAGGAAAUAUAAAUUUAAUUUAAAAACUAGGGAACACGAACAGGCUAUAACUAAAGAAGAAACUGUAAAGGCAGUAAAAAACACUUGAAGAUAUGCACAUGCACAGAGUUUUAUAGGAGUUUAUCAAACCUUCAAUGAACAGAUGAUUCUCACAUUAUAUAAACUGUUCCACAAGGGAGGAAAACCUGAAAAGCAACUCAUUUUACAAAGCUAUCCUAAGGGUCUCUAAAACUAGACAUAAAUAGCAUAAGAAAACUAAGUCAAUCUCAUUUAUGGGUAGGUAAUAAAUCAUAAACAAAUCAGCAAAUCAGUAUUGAAAGAACAUUCAUAAAUAGGUUUUAUACCAGUUAUUGAAGGGUAAUUUAACAUUAGAAAAUAUAUUAACAUCAUUCACGCCAUUAAAAUUAACAGAUAAUAAAAACUAUUAUUAUUUUCUAAAUCCUCAAAAACUCAUUGGAUAAAUUCAAAAUCUAUUCCUAGGGGUGGCAGGGAGGAAGAGAUUUUUUAGAAAACUAAGAAAAAAGGAAAUUUCCUUAAUUUGAUAAAGGUCAUCUAUAGAAAGGUCAGCAGCCAUCAUACUUAUUUACCAUGACAGUCAGGAAAGAAACAAGGAUGCCUACAACUGUUCUUAGCUAAUGAAAUAAGAUAAAGAAAGAGCUGUUAUUAAAAAUUAGAAAAAUGCACUUGCAGGUAAUAUGAUCAAUCAUCUAAAAAAUCCCAGACUUAAGUAACAAUUUUUUGACUAAUUGAACUCUGCAAAGUAGCUAAACAAAAGUUAAGUGCUUAUUAUUGAUGAAGAACAAAGUAUUUAAAGAAAUGUAAUAGGAAUUUUAGAAAAACAAUUCAUAAGUAGUUUCUAAAAAUAUAGAAAUAGACUUUAAAAAGUAUACAAUACCUAAACGAAAAAACCCAUUUUACUAAAAGAUGUAAAAAUUCUGAAUAAAUGGAGACAGUGUUCUGGACAGAAAGAUUUCCUAUUUUUAAAUCCUUCCCACACAUUAGUCUAGAAAAUCAAUCCAACAUUGAUCAAAAUCCCAAGGGGACUUUUCUGGUACUUUGAUAAGGUGAUUCUCAUGUUAUUAAGCAAAAAAAUAUCCGUAAGAAUUUUUUAAAAAUUGAAAAAGAACAAAUGGGCAACUGACCUGUCAUAUAUCAUAAUAAGAAAUUAUACUAAUCACAAGUUUUCAGUGAGAGAAAAAUCAUGGAAGACUCCCAGGUGCCACUUAAUGAGACAGAACACUGGAGGAGGUGGGAUGGAAGCAGGUGUGGUGGAAGAGGGUGACUUUGUUAAGGUACACUGAUUGUGAGAUGCCCAUUAGACCUCCACAUGGAGAUGUGGACAGACAGCUGGAUGUGUGAGCUUAGUGGAGAGGUCUGGGCUGCAGAGAGUGACAUUUAAAACCGUGGGAUGCAUGGAGCUUUUACUAGAUGUUUGGUUUCCUUCAUGGGAAAUUAUAUAGUUUGAGUUUGCCAGUAAAUUUCAGAAGUUCACCCAUCCCAUCUGCAUUUGUGUUUUCUGAGGAAACAGGCAGAGGUAUAUUUAGAUCAAUUUAGUAGAGGAUUAGAAAAAUUAAUCUCUGUACUUCUUUUAUUAUUCCUGUACUAAUUUCUUCAUUAUUUUAAAGUACUUUUCAUUUUAAUGGCAUUUCUCUUUAAAAUCACUAAUAAACUUUAUCUCCUACAAGGAGGCAAAGCCUCUGACAUUCGAAAUCCCCUCUCCAUUGUCAGAUGGCUCCUUCAUUCCCCCUCAACACACCACAAAUCCCGCCUUGGUCCUGAGUUUACAAAGGCUGUGCCCCGAACUGGCUUCCCAACUACCCUGACCGCUACUCCAUUCUCUAACGACUUGAGAGCUCCAUGAAGUCUGUUCCAGCCCAUGAUCUCUCCUCCCUACCUCCAAAACAUACUCACGUGGUCUUAAUCAUACACUCUCUUGCGCUUUAAACAUUUCUAAUCUAUUCCUCAAACUAUAGGAACCCACUAAGAAAUGUAAAUGAAUUUCCACCUACGAACACCAAAAUAAUGCACUAUUUCUAAUUACAUACUUUGCUUUUUACCUAAAAAGUACAUGAUCCAACUUAAAAUCCACAAAUCAGUUGCAACCAAAUCUAAAUUAAGAGAACUCCAUUGUCGACCUAGAGACCAAACCAGUAAUACUGGGAGACAAGAUGCGGUCAAGCUGAAGGGGCGGCCAAUGCUGGGGGGGAAACUGUACCUU
ensembl:lncRNA